rnacentral:rRNA from 1 species
AGAGUUUGAUCAUGGCUCAGAAUCAACGCUGGCGGCGUGCCUAACACAUGCAAGUCGAACGCGAAAGCCCCGCAAGGGGUGAGUAGAGUGGCAAACGGGUGAGUAACACGUGGGCGACCUGCCUUCGAGUGGGGGAUAACGUCCCGAAAGGGACGCUAAUACCGCAUGACAUCCUGCUUUUGAAGAGGCGGUGAUCAAAGCCGGGGACCGCAAGGCCCGGCGCUUGGAGAGGGACCCGCGCCCGAUUAGCUAGUUGGUGAGGUAACGGCUCACCAAGGCGACGAUCGGUAGCCGGCCUGAGAGGGCGGACGGCCACACUGGGACUGAGACACGGCCCAGACUCCUACGGGAGGCAGCAGUGGGGAAUUGUUCGCAAUGGGCGCAAGCCUGACGACGCAACGCCGCGUGGAGGAUGAAGAUCUUCGGAUCGUAAACUCCUGUCGAGCGGGACGAAUACCACCCGGGUUAAUAGUCCGGGUGGCGGACGGUACCGCGAGAGGAAGCCCCGGCUAACUCCGUGCCAGCAGCCGCGGUAAUACGGGGGGGGCCAGCGUUGUUCGGAAUUACUGGGCGUAAAGGGCUCGUAGGCGGCCAACUAAGUCAGACGUGAAAUCCCUCGGCUCAACCGGGGAACUGCGUCUGAUACUGGAUGGCUUGAAUCCGGGAGAGGGACGUGGAAUUCCAGGUGUAGCGGUGAAAUGCGUAGAUAUCUGGAGGAACACCGGUGGCGAAGGCGGCGUCCUGGACCGGUAUUGACGCUGAGGAGCGAAAGCCAGGGGAGCAAACGGGAUUAGAUACCCCGGUAGUCCUGGCCCUAAACGAU